GGUUGUGAUCAUACCAGCACUAAUGCACCGUAUCCCAUCAGAACUCCGAAGUUAAGCGUGCUUCAGCGAGAGUAGUACUAGGAUGGGUGACCGCCAGGGUAGUUCUCGUGUUGCAGCCU
rnacentral:rRNA from 1 species